rnacentral:lncRNA from 1 species
AUAAUACUUAAUAUAACAUCUUAGCUAUUAAAAGCAGUAAGUAUUAAGCCCUCUCUGUACAGGUUUUGUGGUUACAGUUUUUGUUUGAGAUGGAUGUUUUGUUGAUCAUGAAUGAGAAGAGAAAUUUGGUACAAUCUUGAUCUUUUGGACAUGAGUCUAAAUGAAUGCCAUUCCUUCACAGUUACCUAGGUGUUGACAAAAAUUACUUCAUUGUGAAUUUUCAAAAAAAAUUUAGUUUUCAGAAUGAAUGAAUUUAGCAAAAGGAGUGAAAUCUUAAUUGGAAGGGAGAUAGCUGUACUCAGCCUCACUGAGCAGGAUGGUGAUUACAAACAUAUAUGUGACUUUAGGGUUUCUAGAAUAUAGUUAGCCUGGGCAAUAGAAAAUGCUACAAGUUUGUAUGCAUUUUUACUUUUCAGAAUAGGGAUUAGUCAUAUCCAUGUAUUCAUGUAAAGCCAUUUUAGAGUUUUAAAAUUAUGCUUGUGGCAUUUUUUAAGGAAUAUAAUACAGUAUGUCAUAGAUUUUUAAAAUACAUGUUUAAAGAAAAUUAUCAU